GCGCACGCUGGGGCUGAGUGCGGGGGGCCAUGAGGGUUUGCAUUUGUGUAUGAAGCUCAAGAUGUGGGGAGUGGCAGAGAGUAUGCAUUAAAGAGGCUAUUAUCCAAUGAAGAGGAAAAGAACAGAGCCAUCAUUCAAGAAGUUUGCUUCAUGAAAAAGCUUUCCGGCCACCCGAACAUUGUCCAGUUUUGUUCUGCAGCGUCUAUAGGAAAAGAGGAGUCAGACACGGGGCAGGCUGAGUUCCUCUUGCUCACAGAGCUCUGUAAAGGUUGAGAACUUGUUGCUUAGUAACCAAGGGACCAUUAAGCUGUGUGACUUUGGCAGUGCCACGACCAUCUCGCACUACCCUGACUACAGCUGGAGCGCCCAGAGGCGAGCCCUGGUGGAGGAAGAGAUCACGAGGAAUACAACACCAAUGUAUAGAACACCAGAAAUCAUAGACUUGUAUUCCAACUUCCCGAUCGGCGAGAAGCAG
rnacentral:lncRNA from 1 species